rnacentral:misc_RNA from 1 species
AAGUCGUAACAAGGUAUCCGUAGGUGAACCUGCGGAUGGAUCAUUAUAGGGUGUUGGGUAAUAGUGAGUGGUUUUAUUAUUAGUAGUUUGAGCGGUGUUGGUUGGGAUGCGAAGCAGGAUUGCCAAGCAAGACAGCCAACAUUGCCUCACGUUAAACUCUAUAAAUCUAACAAUUACAUACAAAAAAAAACAACUUUUAGCAACGGAUCUCUUGGCUCUC